UCAGCGUGGGUUUCCUCCAGGUGCUCCCACAUGUUCUCCCCGUGUCAGCGUGGGUUUCCUCCAGGUGCUCUGACAUGUUCUCCCCGUGUCAGCGUGGGUUUCCUCCAGGUGCUCUGACAUGUUCUCCCUGUGUCAGCGUGGGUUUCCUCCAGGUGCUCUGACAUGUUCUCCCCAUGUCAGCGUGGGUUUCCUCCAGGUGCUCUGACAUGUUCUCCCUGUGUCAGCGUGGGUUUCCUCCAGGUGCUCUGACAUGUUCUCCCCAUGUCAGCGUGGGUUUCCUCCAGGUGCUCUGACAUGUUCUCCCCGUGUCAGCGUGGGUUUCCUCCAGGUGCUUUGACAUGUUCUCCCUGUGUCAGCGUGGGUUUCCUCCAGGUGCUCUGACAUGUUCUCCCCAUGUCAGCGUGGGUUUCCUCCAGGUGCUCUGACAUGUUCUCCCUGUGUCAGCGUGGGUUUCCUCCAGGUGCUUUGACAUGUUCUCCCUGUGUCAGCGUGGGUUUCCUCCAGGUGCUCUGACAUGUUCUCCCCAUGUCAGCGUGGGUUUCCUCC